AUCAUGAACAUGUAAGUACUAACUAGAAUGCAAAAAUGAAAAGUAUCAAAGCAUCUGUGCACUGCUAAUCUUCAAGCAAGUAAUAUUCAUUUAUCUUUUCUGAUUAACUCAUUUAUUUCCUUUAAUGCAUAAAGUGAGAUAGGUGCAUUGCAGACUUGAUCAGCUGCAUAUAAUAAUAUUUACACAUGCUGUAUUUGCAUUCAGUUAUGGCACAACCUAAUCUAUUUUACCAUUGUCACAAGAUUAGUUUUGGGAUUUGUUUGUCAUUUUUUUUUAUAAUUGAAGAAAUCAGAAUAAUUAAUUAUUUGAUUUGUCUUAUAUGAAUAUUGCAGUAAUAUCAAGCUGUCAUUAUCUUUUAAACACACAGGAUACUAAUUAAAUAAAUGAGAUCAUGAACCAGAUGCUAUAUUUGGAUCUUCUGGUUAUAAGGAUGAUGACAAUGGUGAAAGUGAUGAAGAAGAGGUGGCCGGCUGGGGGGCGAUGAAUAUAAGAUGUGGAAAGAUAUAUCAAGGAAUACUGAUGAAUGUUACAAGAUGGAGGUGGAUACCCUUUCAGAUAGAUGAUUUAUUGUUGGAGAGAGGGAAAUAUUGGACCUGCUUAAAAGGAGCAUGUUUCAAAGAGUGAGGUGGACCAAUACUUCGCUCUUCGUUGUUGAGGCAGAGAAAAUAGCUGCAGGAGUAAAGAAUUAAUUUACCUGCACAGUACAUAUGAGGGUCAUGUAGGAAAAUGGAUGUCUACACAAUUUUAUGGAGAGAGAAAUGCUGUUGCAAUCCUGCUGCAACUUCUGAUCCUUCAUUUUGGGGUAUCAUGGGAUCAGUUUACUGUUGGUGCCAAAUUUACUGAUCUUGCAUAAAGAUCAGCAAGACCAUUCUACAGAAUGCAACUUCAGUACAGAGAAUUAGGUUGCUGUGCAGUAGGUUUACCAGCAGUAACAGAGAAACAGAAAACAGUGAAGUCAAUUAAAGAAUACACAUAUAUUUCAGAACUUGAAGGAAGUAUAAUGGAGUCCUUAUGCAUGUAAUACAAGGAGUAAGAAUUCCAAAGACCAUGACAGCACCUCUGCCAAUUUAUCAGGCCUCCUAAAUCCUGGAUCAAGGCUUUUACUUUCAGAAAUGAAUAGAAGAAAAAAAGUGUGCUGCUGCCUCUAGAAAAUGAUUUCUGCUUGGAAGUGUCCCCUGGUGACAUUGAUUGUGCUCUGGCUAGCAUAAGGAUGGUAAUGAGCUGACAACAGUAAUUGUGAGAUGUCCGAAAUACAUGUAUACCAAUUCUGAUGUAGGAGGACCUUAUCAUAGAGGAAGGGUGAACAUCAUAACAUUACCAGAUAGCCAACCUAUGUAUAGGAUAAUAAUCCAUCAUACUUCCUGCGUACUUGUGUUUUAUUUGAAUGGACAGCAAGGAUUUUGGCAAUUGGUACAUUUACAACCUCUUCUCUUGCAUGGCAGUAAGGUUUAACAUUUGCCUUUUUUCACAGGGAAAGUACCGGUAAAUGUUAAAUUUCAUAAUACAUGUGCUUUAUUUCUCAUAGGAUCUUUUUACUUUUAAAAUUUAUGUAAAGUACUUUUAUUUUCAUUAAUAUAUUACAUUUUUAAUAACUUUCAA